AUGGCUGCAGACUUUGAUGCAUUAAUUUUCUUGCUGCAGCACUCACCUAAUAUACAGAAACUCUUUCUCCAACUUAAAAUUAACUUCAAUGCCAGAAAGGCAUCAGAAACAGGUAUCAAACUACAGAGAAGAUCAUUUACUUGCAAAGAUCUUCGAAUGGUGAAGAUCACAUGCUCAAAGGAUGAUGGGAGAGUCCAUAAGCUGGCAAAUUUGUUUAUGGCAAAUGGUAUGCCAGUCAAGAAAAUUUAUGUCCACCACAGCGGGAGUGCUUAUCUCCGCAGCCAGAAGCAGACGAAGGAGUUCUGGGGGGUGUAA
rnacentral:rRNA from 1 species